UUUUCAUGAUCUUGACCAUUCUUUUCUUGUUUUUGUUCUUGCUUUUCUUUUGAUUUCCUUUCACCUUUUUUUGUUGUUGUUCUUUUUUUCUUUUCAAAAAUUUAUCUCGUAAAGUCAUGGACAAGGCUUGGCCUGUCUGUGACGUUAAGUCUCCAAGAAACGAAAGGAAUGCCCGCAUCAGAAUCUCGAUCGCUGUCUUCUAUGAACCUGAAUUCAUUGGCCGGAGAGUAGCAUGGCAUUUUCUGGGUUUGAACCCAUGAAUUGUUUUGAUAAGCGUAGUGCUGCUCCAUUGUUCCUGAUGAUGAUGCACUUGCAUUGCUGUUGCUGAUUGCAUUUGCAGCUGUGGCUCUUCUCUCUUCUUUCUUGAACCGAAUUCCACAUGCAUUGCAAAGUGACUUGGGGCCUCUUGGACCAUUUCUCCAAAGAGGAGUUGAAGUGGUAUCACAGUUGGCGCAGCGGCGAGCAAGUAGAGGAUCAUUAUUGGCGGAGUUAUUAUUGGAACUAGAAUUGCUUCCACGGCUAGUUUUAUGGGUAUGAGGAGAAUAAGGCGUAUUUUUAUUGGUUUGCAAUAUAUCCCAGCAGAAGUUUGACAUGCAAGAACCAGGGCGGCGUUCGUGGCGGAUUCUUUUGUCAUCGUCUUCGCAUAGACGAGUAGAUGGGGUCCCUAAAGAAAGAGUACAAUCAACAGAAGAUGAAGAAGAGGCAAAAGGAUAUAUGUCUGUUUCAUCGAAAGAGUUGUUGUGGUUUGGCAUGGAAAAUAGCAUGGUGAAAGAGUUGCUUUGGCUGUGAAACAGACCACAUGUACAUUGACCCAUCAUAUUCCCUUGAGAGCUACUGCACCUAUGCAUCAUUUCUCAAUUUCUUCUUCUUCACUCAGUUUUCUGUUACUGGGUUUGCCUCUAUACCACCAAAGAUCAGAUACUACUACUAUAUAUGAAGAAGAAUAAGGAGGAUGGUUAAUUUGGUUGGAGAUAGAAGUGGCAAUGGUGAAUUUGUAGUUAAAAUGGGAAUAGCAGAGACAGAGAGUACGGACCCAAGUAGUAAAACGAAGAAAGAGUUUGCAAUAAUAUAAUGUUUGAAUAAGGGAUCACUAGAGAGAGAGAGAAAGAGUGUGGUGAUGAAU
rnacentral:misc_RNA from 1 species